UACGGGGGGAGCAAGCGUUAUUCGGAUUUACUGGGCGUAAAGGGCGCGUAGGCGGCGUAACAAGUCACUUGUGAAAUCUCCGGGCUUAACCCGGAGCGGCCAAGUGAUACUGUUGUGCUAGAGUGCGGAAGGGGCUACUGGAAUUCUCGGUGUAGCGGUGAAAUGCGUAGAUAUCGGGAGGAACACCAGUGGCGAAGGCGACUACCUGGCCUGUUCUUGACGCUGAGGCGCGAAAGCUAGGGGAGCAAACGGG
rnacentral:rRNA from 1 species